UAUGCAUACUUUUUGUGCUUGACCUAGGGUUCCAAUAGGUGUUGUAGCUUGAAUUAAGCAUGCAUUUAGGUCUCUUUCAGCAUGGGUGUUAACCGGUAGUUGAUUAACCAGUAUUUCAGGAAGAACAAAGCUUUUUUGGGUUUGAAAGAUUUCCAGUGAUUGUGGUGCAUUGAAGCAUGUUUGGGAUGAUUGAGCUGACUUAGACAUAUCAUUAUAUUAUUGUUUUAGUAAUUUGCACUUAUCUUUUUGGAUCCGGUCAAGCUGACAUGUGAGUACAUGUUACACCUUCACGUCGACAUGGUAAAUGAUCUAUUUUGUGGUUUCCGAUAUAUAAGUUUGAUGUGGGUGAUCUUUUUAGUAGAUGGUGCAAAUAUAUGCGAGUGAGAGGUGAUCAAUAAUCCAUUUUGGCAUAGCUUCACAUGUGCAUUCUUGAUCUAGUAGCUGACUGAGACAAAGAACAGGGCAAAACAGAGCAGAACAGAGAAGGUGCUCCAGUCAAUGUAUUUAGCACUUAACCGAAACUCAUCCAAGCAUAGUAGAUUCUAUUUUAGAGUUUAUACAUUGUAAUUCAUCACUAUAAUUAUCUUGUAAGUUAGUGAGACUUCCCUGAGGGUUGUAGCCUUCCGGGUUAUUGUAAUUGAGCAGACAACUCUAGGUAGUGUGCCUGAAUGCCUGUGCAUUCCCAUUUUAUAAUAUUGUUUUGCUACUGUCCAUAGUGGAAUAAUUUUGUGGGUUCAAAUCCCACCAUGGUUUUUCCCAUUUGGGUUUCCACGUAAAAAUACUAGUGUUAUGAUCUUGUAGUUGUUUUUU